ACAAAAUAAAAUAAAACCCUCUCUCCUCUUAAUUUCUUCUCAAUCUUUCACCGUCUCUCUCCCAUCUCUUCUUCUUCGCGCAUCAAACCCUAGCCUCCUCCGCUCUUCAUCUCCUCUAAUUUCUCUUCUAUCUCUUUUUCUUUUUCUCAUACAAAGAAGUAAGAAAUAUCAUGUCAAGAACAAGGAUAUAUAGAAGUUCCUUGAUGGUAUCUACUUCAAGAAAGAGAAGUUGGAGCUUGGAGGUGAUCAAUACAAGUGAAGUUCGAUAACAAGAGCUCAGCUGUGUUGCAAUGAACAUCCUGAACUGGGGAGUUGCAUACCUGGAAUAGACGACAGACAUGAUAAUAGUGGUGACGAUGGAAAGUGUUGGAGUUUAUGCUCUUCUGGCUGUGUAAAAGGAGGAUUCUGCAAGCCAAAUAACCAUAUAUGCCAUUGUUAUUGUUGAAUAUAUUUCACAUCUAUGCAACCUUUCUUUCACCUUCAUUAUAUUUCAAUAUUUCAAGUGCAUGACGUUGCUCUUCCAUAAAUUAUGUUUUGGUUAAUAAAUAUCAAUAAUAAGAAAGGAAGUACCCAUCA